rnacentral:rRNA from 1 species
AAUGAACGUUGGCGGCGUGGAUUAGGCAUGCAAGUCGUACGGUAAGCUUCGGCUUAUAGUGGCGAAAGGGAGAGUAACGCGUGGUUACAUGCACUCGGGACCGGGAUAGCGGCGGGAAACUGCCGGUACUACCGGAUAAUAUCUUUGGAUCAAAGGUGUGAUUCCGCCCGAGGAUUGGACCGCGUUCUAUUAGCUUGUUGGCGGGGUAAUGGCCCACCAAGGCGACGAGGGAUACCGGGUGUGAGAGCAUGGCCCGGCCCACUGGGACUGAGACACUGCCCAGACACCUACGGGUGGGUGCAGUCGAGAAUCUUCGGCAAUGGGGGCAACCCUGACCGAGCGACGCCGCGUGCGGGACGAAGGCCUUCGGGUUGUAAACCGCUGUCAGUUGGGAGGAAGUGCCGGGGGGUUCUCCCCUCGGUUUGACCGAUCUUCAGAGGAAGGACGGGCUAAGUUCGUGCCAGCCGCCGCAGUAA